CCUACGGGGGGCUGCAGUCGAGAAUCUUGGGCAAUGCACGAAAGUGUGACCCAGCGACGCCGCGUGAAGGAUGAAGGCCCUUGGGUCGUAAACUUCUUUUACGGGAGAAGCGGUAUCCCGUGAAUAAGCCACGGCUAACUACGUGCCAGCAGCCGCGGUAAUACGUAGGUGGCAAGCGUUGUCCGGAUUUACUGGGCGUAAAGCGCGCGCAGGCGGAUGGUUAAGUAGGAAGUGAAAGGUUGGAGCUCAACUCCAACAUUGCUCCCUAUACUGGCCGUCUUGAGUCCCGGAGAGGAAAGCGGAACGACACGUGGAGCGGUGAAAUGCGUUGAUAUGUGUCGGAACACCAAUGGCGAAGGCAGCUUUCUGGCGGUACUGACGCUCAGGCGCGAAAGCCGAGGUAGCGAACAGGAUUAGAUACCCGUGUAGUC
rnacentral:rRNA from 1 species